rnacentral:rRNA from 1 species
UAAAGGUUUGGUCCUGACCUUACUAUCAACUUUAGCUAAACUUACACAUGCAAGUAUCCGCACCCCUGUGAGAAUGCCCUACAGUUCCCUGCUCGGGAACAAGGAGCCGGUAUCAGGCACACCCCAAAUACAAGCCCAUGACACCUUGCUUAGCCACACCCCCAAGGGAACUCAGCAGUGAUAAACAUUAGGCCAUAAGUGAAAACUUGACUUAGUUAAAGCUAAGAGGGUCGGUAAAACUCGUGCCAGCCACCGCGGUUAUACGAGAGACCCAAGUUGUUAGACACCGGCGUAAAGAGUGGUUAAGAUACCCCCCCCCCCACUAAAGCCGAACGCCCUCAGAGCUGUUAUACGCAUCCGAAGGUAAGAAGCCCGACCACGAAAGUGGCUUUAUAUUGUCCGAACCCACGAAAGCUAUGACACAAACUAGGAUUAGAUACCCUAUUAU